AUGGCUUCCUCAAUAUGGCUGCUUCUUCUUUUCUUUAUCGUUCCUUUAGUCUUAGACCAGCUUGUUGCUCCUACCAUAGCCCAAGAUGACGGUCUAUGCACUUAUAGAGCUGAAUUCUGCUGGAAAUGUUCCGAUAUCGGAAACUAUGCUAAUGGCAGCAUCUACCAACAAAACCUCAACAGCCUCCUCUCCUCAUUCUCCUCCAAUCAGUCCAACUCUGGCUUUUACAACGCUUCUCUUGGAGAAGACGCCAACAAAGUGUACGCAAUUGCAUUAUGCAGAGGAGAUCUAGGACCUGACAGAUGUGGUACCUGUGUCAGCAACUCUGCUGAGAUUAUCAUGCGAAAUUGCUCGCAGGAAAAGGAGGCAAUCUUAUGGUCCGAGGAUUGCAUGUUGCGUUACUCGCAAAGGUUAAUAUUUGGUAUUGAGGAAGAGGACCCUGUCAAGCCUGUGCCUAGCCCAAACUACGUAUCAAACGCGGAAGCAUUCAACCUGGUGCUGAACUCCGUUUUGGAUAAUUUAACUGAGAGAGCUGCUAAUUUAGAUAAUUCUGGUAAAAAAUAUGCAGCGGGACAUGCAACUGUUACGGGAGGUAAUGAAACGAUAUAUGCACUUGUGCAAUGUACUCCGGAUAUAGACAAAGGAAAUUGCAGUACAUGCCUUAAGAAAUGCAUCUCUGCUAUUCCAACAUGUUGCGGUAGAAGGCAAGGAGCUAGAAUUCUUAGACCAAGCUGUAAUUUGAGGUAUGAGGCCAAUCAAUUCUAUGAGUCUACAGCUGAUACAAUAGUAGAUGUUUCAGCUCAGGUUACUCCAGCAACUCCGGAAACUCCAGCUCCAGUUCCAGAUCAAGGACAGAAGAGUAACACGAAAAAAACUAUCAUCAUCGUUGUUGUGGCUGUUGUUGCUUUUGUAACUAUGCUUCUCGGUGGCAUAUGCAUUUUCUUACGAGUCAAGCAACAAAGGGUAAAACUUGGAAAAAGGGUACCACUUGAAGAUCAUGAUUCUUCUCAAGAAGUUAGUUUCGCGGAUUCAUUACAAUAUGAUUUUGAAAUUAUAAGAGCUGCAACAGAUGAUUUUUCUGAUGAAAAUAAGCUUGGACAAGGUGGAUUUGGAGCUGUUUACAAGGGUAUGCUGUUGAACGGACAAUAUAUUGCCGUGAAAAGGCUCUCCAAGAGUUCUGAACAGGGUGAUCGUGAAUUUAAAAAUGAAGCCAUGUUGCUUGCUCAACUGCAACACCGGAACUUAGAAGGCUAUUAGGCUUUUGCUUAAAAGGAGAAGAAAGGCUCCUCAUUUACGAAUAUAUACCUAACACAAGUCUGAAUCACUUCCUUUUUGAUCCCAUCAAUUAUGGAUAUUUGGAUUGGGAAACACGUUACAAGAUCAUAGGAGGAAUUGUUCGUGGUCUUCUUUACCUCCAUGAAGAUUCUCGACUUCGAAUUAUUCAUCGCGAUCUCAAACCUAGCAACAUUCUGCUAGGUGAGGAUAUGAAUCCUAAAAUUGCAGAUUUUGGUAUGGCAAGAUUGUUUGUUAUGGAUCAAACUCAAGGAGAUACAAAGACUAUUGUGGGGACCUAUGGAUAUAUGGCGCCAGAAUAUGCAAUGCAAGGGCGUUUUUCUGUCAAAUCGGAUAUCUUUAGUUUUGGCGUGAUAGUUGUUGAGAUAGUUAGUGGUAAGAAAAUUGGUACCUUUUGAAAUGGUGAAAAUGAAGAGGACCUUCUAAGCUAUGUCUGGAGAAAUUGGAGGGACGACACAAUUCCAAAUAUCAUAGAUCCCAAGUUGACAACAGGCUCAAGAAAUGAAAUGAUCAAAUGCAUCCACAUUGGUUUACUAUGUGUCCAAGAAAAUGUGAAUGACAGACCAACCAUGGCUUCAAUUGUUUCCAUGCUGAACAGUGAGUCCCUCACACUCUCAGUACCUUCAAAACCUGCAUAUUAUUGGCAAUACAACUCUAAAUCAGACACAGAGACGUUUGGUACAUCGGAAAGCUCUAUAUAUGUGUCAAAAAAUGAGGUUGCAAAUAUUACCGAACCAUAUCCACGCUAG